rnacentral:rRNA from 1 species
GUAGAGGGAAUUCCCAGUGUAGCGGUGAAAUGCGUAGAGAUUGGGGAAGAAACACCAGUGGCGAAGGCGCUCUACUGGACUAAAACUGACACUGAGGGACGAAAGCUAGGGUAGCGAAAGGGAUUAGAUACCCCUGUAGUCUUAGCAGUAAACGAUGGAUACUAGGCGAAGUCUGUAUAAACUCAGACUGUGUCGAAGCCAACGCGUUAAGUAUCCCGCCUGGGGAGUACGCACGCAAGUGUGAAACUCAAAGGAAUUGACGGGGAUCCGCACAAGCGGUGGAGUAUGUGGUUUAAUUCGAUGCAACGCGAAGAACCUUACCAAAACUUGACAUCCGGUGAAUCUUGAUGAAAGUCGAGAGUGCCUUAGGGAACACUGAGACAGGUGGUGCAUGGCUGUCGUCAGCUCGUGUCGUGAGAUGUUGGGUUAAGUCCCGCAACGAGCGCAACCCUCGUCCUUAGUUGCCAUCAUUUAGUUGGGCACUCUAGAGAGACUGCCGGUGUCAAACCGGAGGAAGGUGGGGAUGACGUCAAGUCCUCAUGGCCUUUAUGAUCAGGGCUACACACGUACUACAAUGGUCGGUACAAAGGGCAGCGACAGGGCGCCCUGUAGCGAAUCUCUUAAAGCCGGUCUCAGUCCGGAUUGGAGUCUGCAACUCGACUCCAUGAAGUUGGAAUCGCUAGUAAUCGUGGAUCAGCAUGCCACGGUGAAUACGUUCCCGGGCCUUGUACACACCGCCCGUCACACCACGGGAGUUGG